AGUGAACGCUGGCGGUAGGCCUAACACAUGCAAGUCGAACGGCAGCACAGUAGAGCUUGCUCUUACGGGUGGCGAGUGGCGGACGGGUGAGGAAUACAUCGGAAUCUACUUUUUCGUGGGGGAUAACGUAGGGAAACUUACGCUAAUACCGCAUACGACCUACGGGUGAAAGCCGGGGAUCUUCGGACCUUGCGCGAUUGCAUGAGCCGAUGUCGGAUUAGCUAGUUGGCGGGGUAAAGGCCCACCAAGGCGACGAUCCGUAGCUGGUCUGAGAGGAUGAUCAGCCACACUGGAACUGAGACACGGUCCAGACUCCUACGGGAGGCAGCAGUGGGGAAUAUUGGACAAUGGGCGCAAGCCUGAUCCAGCCAUACCGCGUGGGUGAAGAAGGCCUUCGGGUUGUAAAGCCCUUUUGUUGGGAAAGAAAAGCAGCAGGUUAAUACCCCGCUGUUCUGACGGUACCCAAAGAAUAAGCACCGGCUAACUUCGUG
rnacentral:rRNA from 1 species